CCCCUCUCAGGAUCGCACCUGGAAAGUUUCCUGUACUCUACCGGUCUCUGCUAUGGGAGGGAGAGUCAGGCAGAGGCAUGCCCAUUCGAUUUCUAGCUUGGGCAGUGGCUAGUGAGUGGGAGGCAAUCUGCUACAAGU